rnacentral:lncRNA from 1 species
CAGCAUCAGUUUGGGGGCUGGGAAGAAUAGAUGGGUGAGAGGGAGGCUAUGGAGUGGAAUUAAAUAGGUCCACAGCUGUGGAUGCUGCAUGGGGUGUGGUGUGGGCACAGGAGCAGCUGACAAAGCCAUUCCGAGGGACAAAGGGAAGUGAGCCCACAGCAGGCUGUACCAGGCUGCCCUGCUUGUGCCUUAGUGGGAAGCCCAGUGAGGCAUUAAGCCCAGGGGUUCACUUUCAGGCCCCUGGCCAAUCUGAGUUUCCUGAUUCUGCCCUCUGACACCAUUGCAGCUGCCUGCACCUGGGCCACAUGGCCUUCAGAACCUUCUCUCUGGUCUUCCUCCCCACUUCUUCCCUGCCUUCUAGAGAAAGAGCCUGGAGACAAUGGUGACAAUGUCUGUGGGUACUUUUCUCAGGGUUUCCCUACCCUGCCCUAGACCC